rnacentral:rRNA from 1 species
UUAGAGUUUGAUCAUGGCUCAGGAUGAACGCUAGCGGCAGGCUUAACACAUGCAAGUCGAGGGGCAUCGGGGUAGCAAUACUGCCGGCGACCGGCGCACGGGUGCGUAACGCGUAUGCAACCUACCUAUUACAGGGGUAUAGCCCAGAGAAAUUUGGAUUAAUCCCCCAUAACAUAUUUAAGAGGCAUCUUUUGAAUAUUAAAACUCCGGUGGUAAUAGAUGGGCAUGCGUGACAUUAGUUAGUUGGCGAGGUAACGGCUCACCAAGACAACGAUGUCUAGGGGUUCUAAAAGGAAGAUCCCCCACACUGGUACUGAGACACGGACCAGACUCCUACGGGAGGCAGCAGUGAGGAAUAUUGGUCAAUGGGCGCAAGCCUGAACCAGCCAUGCCGCGUGCAGGAAGACUGCCCUAUGGGUUGUAAACUGCUUUUAUUUGGGAAUAAACCUUAGUACGUGUACUGAGCUGAAUGUACCAAAUGAAUAAGCACCGGCUAACUCCGUGCCAGCAGCCGCGGUAAUACGGAGGGUGCAAGCGUUAUCCGGAUUUAUUAGGUUUAAAGGGUCCGCAGGCGGGGAAAUAAGUCAGUGGUGAAAUACUGCAGCUUAACUGUAGCAAUGCCAUUGAUACUGUAUCUCUUGAGUUCAGAAGAAGUAGGCGGAAUAUGUAAUGUAGCGGUGAAAUGCUUAGAUAUUACAUAGAACACCGAUUGCGAAGGCAGCUUACUAUACUGUAACUGACGCUCAGGGACGAAAGCGUGGGGAGCGAACAGGAUUAGAUACCCUGGUAGUCCACGCCGUAAACGAUGAUUACUAGUUGUUGGCGAUAUACCGUCAGUGACUGAGCGAAAGCGUUAAGUAAUCCACCUGGGGAGUACGACCGCAAGGUUGAAACUCAAAGGAAUUGACGGGGGCCCGCACAAGCGGAGGAACAUGUGGUUUAAUUCGAUGAUACGCGAGGAACCUUACCCGGGCUUAAAUGGGAAACGACAGGUUUGGAAACAGACCCUUCUUCGGACGUUUUUCAAGGUGCUGCAUGGUUGUCGUCAGCUCGUGCCGUGAGGUGUCGGGUUAAGUCCCAUAACGAGCGCAACCCCUAUCGUUAGUUGCCAACAGGUCAAGCUGGGGACUCUAAUGAGACUGCCAUCGUAAGAUGUGAGGAAGGUGGGGAUGACGUCAAAUCAGCACGGCCCUUAUGUCCGGGGCUACACACGUGUUACAAUGGUAACUACAGAGGGCAGCGACUUGGCAACAAGGAGCUAAUCCUAAAAAGUUAUCUCAGUUCGGAUCGUAGUCUGCAACUCGACUACGUGAAGUUGGAUUCGCUAGUAAUCGCGCAUCAGCCAUGGCGCGGUGAAUACGUUCCCGGGCCUUGUACACACCGCCCGUCAAGCCAUGGAAGCUGGGGGUGCCUAAAGUCCGUAACCGCGAGGGACGGCCUAGGGCAAAACUAGUAACUAGGGCUAAGUCGUAACAAGGUAGCCAAGGGCGAA